GAUGAACGCUAGCGGGAGGCUUAACACAUGCAAGUCGAGGGGCAGCAUAGGGUAGCAAUACUCUGAUGGCGACCGGCAAACGGGUGAGUAACGCGUAUGUAACCUACCCUGUACAGGGGGAUAACCCGGAGAAAUUCGGACUAAUAUCCCAUAACAAUAUCCGGGGGCAUCUUUGGAUAUUUAAAGUUCCGGCGGUACGGGAUGGGCAUGCGUAACAUUAGCUAGUUGGUAAGGUAACGGCUUACCAAGGCUUUGAUGUUUAGGGGUCCUGAGAGGGUGGUCCCCCACACUGGUACUGAGACACGGACCAGACUCCUACGGGAGGCAGCAGUGAGGAAUAUUGGUCAAUGGGCGGAAGCCUGAACCAGCCAUGCCGCGUGCAGGAUGACGGCCCUACGGGUUGUAAACUGCUUUUCCCCGGGGCGAAUAACCCCCUCGCGAGGGGGAGUGGCCGGUACCGGGGGAAGUAAGGAGUCGGCUAACUCCGUG
rnacentral:rRNA from 1 species